rnacentral:sRNA from 1 species
CUGCCGUCAUAUCAGCUUAUGGCGCCGGUCGCUGAUUGGCUGGCCGCUCCAGCCUCCCGGCCCGCUUGCUGGCUGCCCACCUGCUAGGGCAGUUUGCAGAGCACUGGCGUGUGGAGCGGCGGCGGACCACCUCCAGGGGCUAAGUGAUGGAUCUUGUACUCAGUGUUGCAGAUUACUAUUUUUUUUCACCAUACAUAUAUCCAGCCACGUGGCCAGAAGAUGACAUCUUCCGACAAGCUAUUAGUCUUCUGAUUGUAACAAAUGUUGGUGCUUACAUCCUUUAUUUCUUCUGUGCAACACUGAGCUAUUAUUUUGUCUUUGAUCAUGCAUUAAUGAAACAUCCACAAUUUUUAAAGAAUCAAGUCCGUCGAGAGAUUAAGUUUACUGUCCAGGCAUUGCCAUGGAUAAGUAUUCUUACUGUUGCACUGUUCCUGCUGGAGAUAAGAGGUUACAGCAAAUUACAUGACGACCUAGGAGAGUUUCCAUAUGGUAAGUAAAUAACACGAGUGUCAGGAAGAGAGUAGUCUAAGCACAGGUUAGUUUCCUUAAAAAAACAAGUCUGCCCUUUUUUUUUCAUCUUUUAAAAUAAUUACAAAUUAUUCAGUUGUUUUUUAAUGUUCUAUUUUCAUGUGUUCAUGUCUUGCCACAUGUGCAUUUCUUUAGUUUUUCUAUCAAUCUGAAAGUCUGCUGUAGAUGAGAUUGUGUCUGGUGGAAGAUUGGAGUGAUCAGAGAUGGGUCCUUGCAUUUGUUUUCUAUUAAUUAUUGAAUUCAACCUUCUAAAAAAAACUUCAGUAGCUUAUGUCAUUGCUGAAAGUUAAAAACAGAUUUUUAAAAUCCAUUAUCCUGCUUCUUAGAAACUAACUCUUCUGGCAUACUUACCACCCACUUUUCUGUGCCUGUAUACUUCAUUGUUUACGUU